rnacentral:rRNA from 1 species
AUUGAACGCUGGCGGCAGGCCUAACACAUGCAAGUCGAACGAGUGGCGGACGGGUGAGUAAUGUCUUGGAAACUGCCCGAUGUAGGGGGAUAACUACUGGAAACGGUAGCUAAUACCCCAUACCAUUGGAUGUUCCCAGGGGGGAUUAGCUAGUAGGUGAGGUAACGGGUCACCUAGUCGACGAUCCCUAGCUGGUCUGAGAGUCUGACCGGCCACACUGGAACUGAGACACGGUCCAGACUCCUACGGGAGGCAGCAGUGGGGAAUAUUGGACAAUGGGCGCAAGCCUGAUGCAGCCAUGCCGCGUGUAUGAAGAAGGCCUUCGGGUUGUAAAGUACUUUCAGCGAGGAGGCGUUACCCGCAGAAGAAGCACCGGCUAACUCCGUGCCAGCAGCCGCGGUAAUAC